CUUGGUCAUUUAGAGGAAGUAAAAGUCGUAACAAGGUUUCCGUAGGUGAACCUGCGGAAGGAUCAUUACAGAAUGUUCAGAGGCGGCUGCUGCUGGCGGAAAAAGAAAACCGCAUGUGCGCGUCGUCCUCGCCUUCAUCCAACACACACUUGUGCACCACAGGGCGAGCGCCUUCCAUGAGGAGCCGUCCCGCGUAACCCGAAAGGGGGGCGGGACUGAGGCCUCGAUCCCUUUUCCAUUACCACCGCCUGUCUUAUACGCAUGUGAUGAAUUUCUAACGAAAUACAACUUUCAACAACGGAUCUCUUGGCUUUCGCAUCGAUGAAGGACGCCGCGAAAGUGCGAAACGUAAUGUGAAUUGCAGAAUUCAGUGAAUCAUCGAAUCUUUGAACGCAUCUUGCGCUCCUUGGUAUUCCGAGGAGCAUGCCUGUUUGAGUGUCGUGAACUCUCUCGACCUCCCACCUUUUCGGAGGUGAGGGGUUCGGAUUUGGAUGUUGUCGGCUCCCGAGUGGGGUCGACUCGUCUUGAAAUGCAUCAGCUGGUUCCGCCGCGCGAGCUCGAUUCGACAACGGUGUGAUAAGUAAACUCUUUGACGCCGCUUCGAGUCUGGUCUCGUGUCCGGACGGGUGACCGCUUCCAAUCGUCUUCGGACAAUCAUACUUCAUGUCAUCUGACCUCAAAUCAGGUAGGACUACCCGCUGAACUUAAGCAUAUCAAUAAGCGGAGGAAAAGAAACUAACAAGGAUUCCCCUAGUAACGGCGAGUGAAGCGGGAAGAGCUCAAAUUUGCAAUCUGGCGGUCUCUGGCCGUCCGAGUUGUAGUCUGGAGAAGCGUCUUCCGCGCCGGACCGUGUAUAAGUCUCUUGGAACAGGGCUUCAUAGAGGGUGAGAAUCCCGUCUUCGACACGGACUGCCGGUGCUUUGUGAUGCGCUCUCGAAGAGUCGAGUUGUUUGGGAAUGCAGCUCAAAACGGGUGGUAAAUUCCAUCUAAAGCUAAAUAUUGGCGAAAGACCGAUAGCGAACAAGUACCGUGAGGGAAAGAUGAAAAGCACUUUGGAAAGAGAGUUAAACAGUACGUGAAAUUGUUGAAAGGGAAACGCUUGAAGU
rnacentral:rRNA from 1 species